AAGGAGACACUGAGGCAAGAUUUUGGGUGAAGAAUUGAGAUAAACGUAGAGGACACCUUCUCUUUAGAAUGAAGUCCUCAAUGAUUCGGACCGAAGUUGACUUCUUUUAUAUGUUCACACCUUGGAGAGUGCUAGGUGGCUGUUACCUGGGAAGACCAGCCCUUUUCCUGUGCACAGCUUUAAGUGUGUGAGGAGACAAUCUCCAAUUAAAUUGAACACCCCCACAAGGAGUUCUGUGGAAUAGGUCCUAAAGGCCACUGCCCUGAAUUUGAAAGGACUCGUUUAUGCCCUAAUGUUGAUGAGGUUUGAGAAACAACCAUUCUAAAGCAACACGGACUGUGUCUUUCUGUUCAGACCCACUUGGGUUCAUGUCCCGGUGUGUGAACUUGGGAAGCAAUAAUCUCUUGUUUUAAAACAAUGUCUUUGUAAAGCUACGGGAAAUAAAUGAGCUGUCUCUUCCUGCGAUGCCAAGUUGAAUGACGAUUUUACUUAAAGUUGAACUCAACAGAAAACACUGACACAAUUCAAAACAUGCUCAAAGAUGCUCUUACAAAGAUAUACUUGAAUCUUUUAUACAAUGUAAGACAUAUGAGAAAAUACUGA